rnacentral:lncRNA from 1 species
AUACAAAGGACUUCCCUAGUAUCGUUGGACCAACAAGCACAAGCAGAUGGCAGGAAGAUUAGAACAUUGGAUAUUGAUUGCCAGUUUUUAAGGUGUCUUUCCGAUAGCCGUUCCUGGUGAGACAUCCUCUUUAUAUAAAACCUGGGCAUUCAGAAUCAGGACAGUGUUAACACAGAAGAAAAGAAAACCCAGCAGUUCCUGGAGAAAGACUAGGACACAUGGCUUUUGUGAAAACAAGACACUAGACGAUGUUCCCAGGCAAGUGCCAGAGCAUCGCACCUGACAUUUCCAUGUCAGUAUCAGUGACUCAGACCAGUUAUACAACAUGGAUCUUUCCAGAUCUUAAGAUUUCUUCUAAGAUUGUGGUAUACCAUACUAACACAGGAUGAGAAGAGCCAGGAAAUGUUGAUUAACAACAAAAC